UACGUAGGGGGCAAGCGUUGUCCGGAUUUAUUGGGCGUAAAGAGCGUGUAGGCGGCUUGGAAGGUCAGCUGUGAAAACUCGAGGCUCAACCUCGAGACGUCGGUUGAAACCACCUGGCUAGAGUCCGGAAGGGGAGUGUGGAAUUCCCGGUGUAGCGGUGAAAUGCGCAGAUAUCGGGAAGAACACCCGUGGCGAAGGCGGCACUCUGGGACGGUACUGACGCUGAGACGCGAAAGCGUGGGGAGCGAACAGG
rnacentral:rRNA from 1 species